CGGACGGGUGAGUAACGCGUGGAGAACCUGCCGUAUACUGGGGGAUAACACUUAGAAAUAGGUGCUAAUACCGCAUGAGCGCACAGCUUCGCAUGAAGCAGUGUGAAAAACUCCGGUGGUAUACGAUGGAUCCGCGUCUGAUUAGCUGGUUGGCGGGGUAAAGGCCCACCAAGGCGACGAUCAGUAGCCGGCCUGAGAGGGUGAACGGCCACAUUGGGACUGAGACACGGCCCAAACUCCUACGGAAGGCAGCAG
rnacentral:rRNA from 1 species